AUGGGGUGACGAGUCCCAAAUAGAACGAAACGCGCGUCCUGGAU
rnacentral:hammerhead_ribozyme from 1 species